UACGAAGGGUGCAAACGUUGCUCGGAAUUAUUGGGCGUAAAGCGCACGUAGGCGGCAUUGCAAGUCGGAUGUGAAAUCCCUCGGCUUAACCAAGGAAGUGCAUCCGAAACUGCAGUGCUUGAGUACUUAAGAGGAUCGCGGAAUUCCCGGUGUAGAGGUGAAAUUCGUAGAUAUCGGGAGGAACACCAGUGGCGAAGGCGGCCUUCUGGACAGUGACUGACGCUGAGACGCGAAAGCGUGGGGAGCAAACGGG
rnacentral:rRNA from 1 species